ACGAUUUAUUUAUUAACCUAUCGCUUAAAUACCAAAUCUAAAUUAGUUAAUAAGUUGUAAAACAUUAGUUUUAUGCGAAUACCAGCUCGAAGUUGAUGGAUUGUUAUUGCGCUUUGAGUAAAAGUCUGGCAAGACGAGUCAAACGACUCUAGCUAUGCGUUCAUUAUCCUCCCCCAACCCGACUGCCUGGCAUUGUUUUUUUCCAGAAUUUCAAUAUGACUCUAUUCUAUAAAAGCGACGGCUUAUGAAAUGGAAAUCAUUGCAAUUGCAAUACUUUCAACAUGAAGUUCACUCUUUUUUUCGGCUUUGUACUGGCUUUGAUCGCGCUGGCUUUCGCCAAUCCGAAUCCCAUGCCUAAUUCCAAUUCUAUUGCCGAUUGCGGCGAUGCCGGUCUGGAGCUCGAACAUGGAUGCGGUGGCGGUGGCAAGUAAACUGCUAACUGUAUGCAAUGUAUACUCGUCGACGUCUUGAACAUUUCUAGUUUAUGUUUUAAUAAAAAAAAACAACCCCCUCAAGCAAAAUAAAUUUUUUUUUAAUAUAAUUUGAAAGGAGUUUAUAGUAAUCCUCUGAGAGUUAUAUUGUUCCUUUCUUUCAGAACUAAAUAUCGUUGCCAUGAUUCACCACAUUACAUUUUCGGCAUCAUUUGAAGGAAUAAUAACAAAAUUUGGGAUUUUUGCUCUCUAA